UACGUAGGGUGCGAGCGUUGUCCGGAUUUAUUAGGCGUAAAGAGCCCGCAGGCGGCCUGGCAAGUUUCAGGUGAAAUCUCCCGGCUCAACUGGGAGGGGUCCUGGAAAACUGUCAGGCUUGAGGCAGGGAGAGGGAUGUGGAAUUCCCGGUGUAGUGGUGAAAUGCGUAGAUAUCGGGAGGAACACCAGUGGCGAAGGCGGCAUCCUGGCCCUGUCCUGACGCUCAGGGGCGAAAGCGUGGGGAGCAAACCGG
rnacentral:rRNA from 1 species